AAUUUUAUUGGAUGUAAGACUUUUGAUUUAAUUACUUGAAUUAAAGUUGAAUAAUAAUUAUUUGAAUUUAUUCCACUGCGAUGCAUUGAUAUCGUGAUGAGAUGCCUUGCAUGCUUAUGGAGAGAGUUCUUCAUGAGUGUGUGGCGGUUGCCGCGACCCUCGAUUCACAAUCUCGGGUCGGGGGCGUGACAAUUAAUAUGGUAUCAGAGCAUAAGUGGAUAAAUUAUGACACAUAGAAUUUGACACAGUAUGAGUGUAGGUGGGUAAACAUUAGGAAUAUUGGGACGUUAAAGUAUGAGCAUCAUAAUAAUAAAAACAUCAAAAGUUCAGAGAGCAGUAGAAAAUAAGACUCAACAGAUUGAUGGUGAGCCGUGCUCCAGAUGUGGCAAAAAAUCAUGCAGAAAAUGAUUGCUAUUGGAGUACCGGUGCUUGUUUCAAAUAUAGUCAGAAGGAUCAUAAAAUUGCUAGCUGCCCGCUAAAUACUGAAAAUCAAGUUGGCCAAAGAACUCAUGAGGGACAACAUAAGGGUGGCGGACAGAUUUUUAAAAUCCAGGGAAGAGUUUAUGCGCUUACUCAACAGAAUCCACAGGCUUCCAAUACAAUGGUGACAGGUAUGAAAAAUUUCGAGGACAAAAU
rnacentral:lncRNA from 1 species